rnacentral:rRNA from 1 species
CCUACGGGAGACUGCAGUGGGGGAUAUUGCACAAUGGGGGAAACCCUGAUGCAGCGACGCCGCGUGGGUGAAGAAGCGCCUCGGCGCGUAAAGCCCUGUCAGCAGGGAAGAAAAUUACGGUACCUGAAGAAGACGCCCCGGCUAACUACGUGCCAGCAGCCGCGGUAAUACGUAGGGGGCAAGCGUUAUCCGGAUUUACUGGGUGUAAAGGGGGCGCAGACGGCGAUGCAAGCCAGGAGUGAAAGCCCGGGGCCCAACCCCGGGACUGCGCUUGGAACUGCGUGGCUAGAGUGCAGGAGGGGCAGGCGGAAUGCCUGGUGUAGCGGUGAAAUGCGUAGAUAUCAGGAGGAACACCGGUGGCGAAGGCGGCCUGCUGGACUGCAACUGACGUUGAGGCCCGAAAGCGUGGGGAGCAAACAGGAUUAGAUACCCGAGUAGUC